rnacentral:rRNA from 1 species
AUUGAACGCUGGCGGCAGGCCUAACACAUGCAAGUCGAACGGUAACAGGAAGAAGCUUGCUUCUUUGCUGACGAGUGGCGGACGGGUGAGUAAUGUCUGGGAAACUGCCUGAUGGAGGGGGAUAACUACUGGAAACGGUAGCUAAUACCGCAUAACGUCGCAAGACCAAAAAGGGGGACCUUCGGGCCUCUUGCCAUCGGAUGUGCCCAGAUGGGAUUAGCUAGUAGGUGGGGUAACGGCUCACCUAGGCGACGAUCACUAGCUGGUCUGAGAGGAUGACAAGCCACACUGGAACUGGGACACGGUCCAGACUCCUACGGGAGGCAGCAGUGGGGAAUAUUGCACAAUGGGCGCAAGCCUGAUGCAGCCAUGCCGCGUGUAUGAAGAAGGCCUUCGGGUUGUAAAGUACUUUCAGCGGGGAGGAAGGGAGUAAAGUUAAUACCUUUGCUCAUUGACGUUACCCGCAGAAGAAGCACCGGCUAACUCCGUG